UACAGAGGGUGCGAGCGUUAAUCGGAAUUACUGGGCGUAAAGCGCACGUAGGUGGCGACGUAAGUCGGGUGUGAAAGCCCCGGGCUCAACCUGGGAAUUGCAUUCGAGACUGCAUUGCUGGAGUACGGAAGAGGAGGGCGGAAUUCCCGGUGUAGCGGUGAAAUGCGUAGAUAUCGGGAGGAACAUCAGUGGCGAAGGCGGCCCUCUGGUCCAGUACUGACACUCAAGUGCGAAAGCGUGGGGAGCAAACAAGG
rnacentral:rRNA from 1 species